GACAGAGGGGGCAAGCGUUGCUCGGAAUUACUGGGCGUAAAGGGCGCGUAGGCGGCCCGCUAAGUCGAACGUGAAAUCCCCAGGCUCAACCUGGGAACUGCGUCCGAUACUGGCAGGCUUGAAUCCGGGAGAGGGAUGUGGAAUUCCAGGUGUAGCGGUGAAAUGCGUAGAUAUCUGGAGGAACACCGGUGGCGAAGGCGGCAUCCUGGACCGGCAUUGACGCUGAGGCGCGAAAGCUAGGGGAGCAAACGGG
rnacentral:rRNA from 1 species